rnacentral:rRNA from 1 species
UGGGGAAUAUUGCACAAUGGGCGCAAGCCUGAUGCAGCCAUGCCGCGUGUAUGAAGAAGGCCUUCGGGUUGUAAAGUACUUUCAGCGGGGAGGAAGGGAGUAAAGUUAAUACCUUUACUCAUUUACGUUACCCGCAGAAGAAGCACCGGCUAACUCCGUGCCAGCAGCCGCGGUAAUACGGAGGGUGCAAGCGUUAAUCGGAAUUACUGGGCGUAAAGCGCACGCAGGCGGUUUGUUAAGUCAGAUGUGAAAUCCCCGGGCUCAACCUGGGAACUGCAUCUGAUACUGGCAAGCUUGAGUCUCGUAGAGGGGGGUAGAAUUCCAGGUGUAGCGGUGAAAUGCGUAGAGAUCUGGAGGAAUACCGGUGGCGAAGGCGGCCCCCUGGACGAAGACUGACGCUCAGGUGCGAAAGCGUGGGGAGCAAACAGG